rnacentral:misc_RNA from 1 species
GACAGAGGGUGCGAACGUUGCUCGGAAUCACUGGGCGUAAAGCGCGUGUAGGCGGACUCGCAAGUCGGUUGUGAAAUCCCUGGGCUCAACCCAGGAACUGCAUCCGAAACUGCGUGUCUAGAGUGCUGGAGAGGGAAGCGGAAUUCCCGGUGUAGAGGUGAAAUUCGUAGAUAUCGGGAGGAACAUCAGUGGCGAAGGCGGCUUCCUGGACAGUUACUGACGCUGAGACGCGAAAGCGUGGGGAGCAAACAGG